CCUACGGGAGGCAGCAGUGAGGGAUAUUGCGCAAUGGGCGAAAGCCUGACGCAGCGACGCCGCGUGGGCGAGGAAGGCCUUCGGGUUGUAAAGCCCUUUUGGCAGGGAAGAGCAAGGACUGUACCUGCAGAACAAGUCACGGCUAACUACGUGCCAGCAGCCGCGGUAAAACGUAGGUGGCGAGCGUUGUCCGAAGUUACUGGGCGUAAAGCGCGCGUAGGCGGGCUGUUAAGUCAGAUGUGAAAUCUCCGCGGCUCAACCGGGAAAGUGCAUCUGAGACUGGCAGUCUUGAGCUGUGGAGAGGGAAGUGGAAUUCCUGGUGUAGCGGUGAAAUGCGUAGAUAUCAGGAGGAACACCCGUGGCGAAGGCGGCUUCCGGGCCACAAGCUGACGCUGAGGUGCGAAAGCCAGGGGAGCGAACGGGAUUAGAUCCCCGGGUAUU
rnacentral:rRNA from 1 species